rnacentral:rRNA from 1 species
GACGGAAGGUGCAAGCGUUGCUCGGAAUCACUGGGCGUAAAGGGUGCGUAGGCGGGUCUUUUAAGUCAGGGGUGAAAUCCUGGAGCUCAACUCCAGAACUGCUUUUGAUACUGAAGAUCUUGAGUUCGGGAGAGGUGAGUGGAACUGCGAGUGUAGAGGUGAAAUUCGUAGAUAUUCGCAAGAACACCAGUGGCGAAGGCGGCUCACUGGCCCGAUACUGACGCUGAGGCACGAAAGCGUGGGGAGCAAACAGG